AUAAGGAACUGCCACCCUGUUUUCCAAAGUGGUUGUAUCAUUUGCAUUCCCAUCAGCGAUGCAUGAGGAUUCUAAUUAGCUGUUCUUCAUCCUCGCCAGCACUUGGUACCAAGAUUCUAGGAACUGCUUCUGAGUCUGGGGAGGAACAGCCACAUCCCAUCCUGGAUGCGGAGUGCCUGGGGACUGAUCAUGUAAAGUUGUUAACUCUGUUGCUUAACACCUGUGAAGUCCAAGCUUGCCACAGAGCAACUCUCCUGUGUACCAGUGAGUAGAUGGCUGUGAAUUCUUGUUUCAUGGCCUCCAGCAUGAUUGGCUCCUGACUUUCAGGUAACAGAUCUGUCCUCUGAGUUGUCACCACACCCAUCUCCUUUCAUCCACACCGAGGAAAAGAGCCCUCCACUUAGCAAAGGCCUAGCCCAGUGUCCUGCAGGAGCGUUCCGUGUCCCCAGCAUCCCUGGAGAAGAGAAGCAGCCCCUGUGUGAGAGGAUCUGAAGCUCUAAGAAGUUAAGUGAUGUGCCAGCGUACACACAGCUGAUCUCCGCUGGAGCCCAAACUUGAACUCGGGUCUGCUAAGGUCAGAUGAUCUUUUCACCUCACCCGCCUCAACUGCCAGGAAAAGUAUACAUGGAAACAUUGCAUAAGAAAUGACUCGACCACCUGAAGAUGAGAAUGUAGAGGAAACGCUGUGUCUGGCGGCGACGACAAGGUACAGGGUAGUGUCCAGGCCACAGUGACUUGGAUGGCAGAGAUGGUGAGGGGGUGAUAGAGGCCAUGCUUCUUGUAGGAGAGCCCAGCUCAGACCUUUAAUGUACCUUAUUUGAUGUUACUAUGUUGUGUUUUUAUUUGUUUGAAUGGAUAAAGGGAAGAGAACCGAAGGAUGUUUUGUUUUUAUCAAGGUCACCUGGCUCAAAAUUUAGCCACUGAAAUGAAGCCAUAUCCUUUGGCCAACUUCUUAGGAGAAGGUUGUGUGGUGGGGACAGGUGUGGGCCUUUCACGAGGAACAGGCUGGUCCCUGGUGCACCGUCAUCCCGCUGGCCACGGCUGCUCACAUAGCCCAGCCCCCCGACCUCUGAUGGCUCUGGGGGUCUCUCUCCUCUCCUGCCCCAUCACUGCUGGCUCCUGGUGUCUCCAGCCGGUAUAAAAACUUCCUUCCGCCGCCCAGUCAAGCCUUUUUAACAGGGCCCUUCUCUAGAGGCAGUGAGAUACGACAUCCUUUAAACAGGGGCCGAACCAGACGCACCCGCUGAUUCCCAGCAUCUGGGAGCAGAUGCAUCCUCGGCUGUCUCUAUGGGGAUGAGCAGACACAUCCAGGCUCAUGCCUCCUUUUGGGCGUGCUUGGGAGCUUAGCAACGGACACGCAGGCCAACGUCACUCUGCCUUACAUUACACCCCAAAGUGGAACAACUCAAGUGCUCAGUAAUAUGAAAUGAUUGGGGAAAUCGUAGUCUAUUC